CCACCGCCACCGCCGCCUUCGGAAUUACUCGGAGCCGAGUCUUGGAGGCCGGAGGGCUCCCCUCGCUCCAAGUUUACGCCAACCCUGGAGAGUCGGGGCGCCGCUGGCCCGCGCUGCGCUAUGCAGGGGGUUGCCCCUCAUGGGAGCCGGGGACCUGGGUCUGGUUCUAAAACAGGAGGGGGCAUCUCCUUUCUCCCGGACUCUCUGAGGGAAACAGGGCAGGGCCGCACUGGAACUGGGGUACCCUCUGGGCUUCCGAGGUCCUGUCUAAGGCAUCGUGCACUAGUGACUUUGUGGUAGCAGAAGAACCCUGGCAGGCAGCAAAAGAGCUAUUUUUCCAAAAUCUUGCUGUCUUCAAAAUCCACCCCAUGAGGGGAUCUUAAAGGCAAAGGGCCCCAUGAACCAGGCUGGCAUUGAGUCCCUGACCCAGAAAAACCCAGCCAAGAACUCUUUCUUCAGUGGAAGGCUUCAGGGCAGCCAAGCUCUGCAGGAUGCCCUGGUCCACCCCAGGAGACAAACCUGCUUGUGGCUCCUCAGCGGACAAGACGAAAUCUCAUCUCACCAUUUUUGGCGAGGAGGGACCCAGUCGACUUUGGCAGUCAGUGGAGCUGAGGCCCUUCCUCUGCGCGCAGGGUUCGGGGUUUCGGUGAAGUGGGAGGGGGAGGGAAGAAUGUGGCGCUGGCCUUGGCCGCUGUGUGCACCCGCAGCUGCGCCAUGGCUAGAGAGGAGCUGGCACAGGCGCCGGCUAGUGGGGGCUCCCCAAACUGUGUUUUCGUUUUUUCCGGGUCUGGCUGGAAAACAGAAGAGGCUCAAAGCCCCAGCCAAAAGCAGGGCCGAGGCAGAGAAGAAGAGUCGGUAAACAUCGUCCCCCAAACUCCACAAAGGCAACAAAAAAUGCUGGGUAGCCAAACAGCCCCAGAAAUGAGAAUUCCAAAGGAAAAGGGAAUUAAGAGUGCGGGGAGGUUGCGGUGGGCCUUUGCAGCCACCUAGGUCUCCAGGCUUGCAUGGCAGUUCUCACACUGGCUAGACUGCAACUUUCAACUUGACCUUGGCCUCCAGCCAUGUCUGACCCGUAUGUAAAACUGCCUUCAAGUCCCCAGGAACUGGGGCCUCGAACCCUAUGCUGUCUCUUUGUCACUGUGAGUUUUACAAUGCCACUUGGGGGGAGGAAGGAGGGGCAAAAGGGCUGGAAAGUAACACAAAAAUCAAGUCCUUACAGAGCCCAGUUCCUUAGUCUGCAAAAUGGCCAGAGAGAAGGUAAACUGGGGGCAAAUCAAUAUU